AAUUAGAACAAAAAUCUGUCUUGAGUUUAAAAACAAACUAGCAUUUCCUAAUCAACAGAUUGAUAGAAAUACUUCAAAUUAUCCCCCUUAAAAAUUGCAAUGCUAAAUCAAUUCCUUCACAUAUACUCCAUACUAAUGGAUUUAAUUUAAUUCUUUCCCAAGCCUCGUCCUAAUAUUUUCCCCGUCAACCCACUCCAAAUAAGCCUAACAGAAAGACAAGUAGAAAGGAGAGAAGAAAUGAUGACUAGACCAG
rnacentral:misc_RNA from 1 species